rnacentral:tRNA from 3 species
GCGAACGUAGCUCAGUUGGUUAGAGCGUCGGGUUGUGGUCCCGAAUGUCGUGGGUUCGAGUCCCAUCGUUCGCCCCA